CACUCACUCCUUUGAGGGCGGAAAAGGACCGUCUGCGUCCUGCUAUUGUUUGCUGGGCUUGAUACAUCUCUAUCUCUCUCACUUUUGAGGGCGUCCGUUCGCGUCCUCCUUUGGCCGGCAGCCAUCGCCGGUGUGUGAUGGUUGUUCGAAGCCCUCUCCACCCUUCAAUUGUCUUUGUUUGUUGUUUCCUAUUGGGGUUUCUCUAUAGUCCGUAGGGUUUAUCAUUUCAGGCUGGGGUCUUUCAUUUAGGCACUGGGCUGGGGUUUUCUUUGAGGUUUUGGUUGGGUUCUUCCGUUGAGGUUGUUGCUGGUUUUUAACAUUUGGUUCGCCAUUGGGUCGGAUGCUUUGGUCACCACUUGGGUCGCCGCUUUCGCUUUUGGUUAGUCCACCGCUUGGGUCCCUGCUGGUUCGGUUGUGGGUCACCGCUUAGGUCGUUGCUGCCGUUCUUACUGGGUCUACCGCCUUCCGUCGUCCCUUAGGUUGCUGUUGGGUCUGCCACUUGUGUCACUCUUGACAUCUGUCGCUUGGGCAUGCCGUUUUGUUGAUCUUGCUGCUGAGUCGCGACAACCGCUUCAGAUUGCUGCUAGAUCGCCAUUAUCGUCUUUGGGUUUGUUGCUGGGCCGUCACUGUCGAGAUGACUGCUGGGUGCUAUGAUUAUUGUUGUGCAUUCAUCGCAUCUAGCGUGCGGCUAUUCAAAUUCCAACCAGCCCGUCCACAGAGAUUGGGUGUUUUGUCAGCUUUGAACAUUAAAUUUCUCAUGGAUGGGGAAGGUGGGCAUUCAAGCUGUUGGGCAUUCUGCAACAUGCCUGAUACUCACGAUUUACUGCCUCAUUUCUGUUUGGUUUGUUGGUGGUCUCACUGCAUAAUAGUGCCAACCAGCUUUCAUUUCUUCAAGUCCUAAAGAAAAAGAGAGUCAAGAAGCGAGACUUCCACAUGCCUGGAUCAAGAAUGGUUUGUAUUGCUGGCAGUGGCAGAGCCAGGAAAGGGAGAUCCCAUUGGAGGAGUAUGCUUCAAUCCAAGCGAAUCUCGACGAUGGCCACAGCCUCACCGCAGAACUGCUUAAUCAGGUCCUCCCUCAUUCUCUCUUGUUCAUAGGAUUUUAUCGCUGUGAAGAAUUUUCAUCGUCUGAACAAUUCCAUAGUUUUUUUUUUUUUGGUGAGAGGUUUUACUUUCCGAUCGUCAUUAUUUUUCACUAUAGAUGUGAGCACACUCGAAUAAAGGGAGAGAGAGUUGACACUGGGAAUAUUACUUCGCACAGGUCCGUUCUUUGCCGUUUUUUUCCUUAUCAUCAUCCACAUUAUAGUGUUAGUAGUCAGUGAGGGAAGGUAACCAAACUAGCGUGCCAAAGCCUCUUGCAUGAACUCUUUUAUUAGCAAGAGCUGGUUGACCUUAUCAUCAGCUUUCUCACAAGCCCUCUGCCCCUGGUUCUACUUUUACCUUUCGUCCUCGUCAAGUAAUAAACUCCUUUGUUUUGCCUGCUGAUUGACAUUUUCUUCAUAUACUUUGAUGCAUUAUAGGAACCAGAUUACCUCAAGCUGAAAAUUUAAAGCUUAUUUUCUUGAAGUGGCUGAAAUACCCCUGGAUUUCUAUGACUGCUCUAAGUCUCAACCUCAGUCGUAGUUUGUAUUUAUAAUUUUAUUCAUGCAAAAAAUAUUAUGAAAAAAACAUAAGAUUGCGUGAAAAUCUGGUAUAUGUGGCCAUUAAAAUCUACCAAAAAUCUAUGAAUAUGUCAAGGAGCUAGUUAUUUGUGAGUCCACGAGUGAUAAAAAUUUAGAAAAGUACCCAAAUAAAUUGAAAGAAAGAAAGGGUCGAGAUGGCUAAUAUUAAGAAGCUUUUGAUAAUAUUUUCUUGUUAAACUACUAAAAUGUUUAUAAUAUUUCUGCAUACUGAAAGACAUUAAUUACACAUUUAAAGCGGAAGGUAAAAUAUAGGAUGACUUCAUGUAGACUAACACAGAACUUCCAGGGUAUAUUUUGGUCUUUAUCUGUCAUCAAAGAUUUUAUAGAAGUUCAAAUUUUAUGAUUAAAUUAUUUGAAGAUUCCAAGGAGUAAGCAUACAUAAUAAGAACUUAUUUGUUUCGAUAACUGUUAAGUAUUGAGAGUAAUUUUACUGGUCAUUCUGAUUCUUUUAAUGGAACCUUGCAUUCUGUAGUAGCAUAGGCAGCAUUACUUGUUAUGGAUGUCCAUGGAGAGAAAUUUUUCCUAUUUUUCAGAUGCAACUUUGAAGUUUGAACCUAACCUACAUUAUGCAAUUUGGCAAUGUUUUAUGCGUGUUUUGGAUAUCAACUAUCAGGAACCAGAACCCGGUGGAUUCAGUUGCAUUUGUUUUCAACUUUUUUUUCAAUUCAUGAACCUCUGUUUACAAUGACAAGGUCUUUAUAUAAAUAUAUAUAUUAAAUUGUCUGUUUAGUGUUUAACUUUUUAAUUAAGAAAUCUCUUGUUUUUGCAAUUUUGAAAUCAUAGAUCAAGGUAGACUACGUAUUCUAUUUAUCCAUUUGAUAGAUGAUGCAUUGAUUUUGUCAUGGGACGUUUCCUGUACCAUAGUCGCUUCUAGAUCCAUGUGCAGCACUGUAAGAAAAAAAAAAAAAAAACAUGGGGUCCAUAUCUGAUCAUGCAAGCUCUCUGAUCAUUCGCAGUUAUGUGUUAUUUAUAACAUUGAGGAAAGAUGAAGUUGGAAGGAUGCGUGAGAAUUUACAAUUGAUCUUGUUUCAUAAUUCAUUUACAUUAACUCGUGGAUAAUGUUACACUUGGUAAGGUUCUGGCUUUGAUUUUGAAAAAAAAUUGUUGUUAGUCCAUAAGUUGACGAUGCUCACUGAAUAGGCCAUCAUAAUCCAAUUGAUGCAGCUAGUUGCGUUCGGCAGUAAUGUCUUAAAACCAUCUAGUUAUGUUGGUGGUUCUAUUUCGAUUGAGACAUUCUAGAAUCAAACAUUAUUGCAACUUCCAUUCUUUGAUUGUGGUUGCUAAUGAUGUAUUUUGCUUAUCAAUGAUGGGUUUUGGCCCUGAGUGGGACUUAGAGAUAUGUACAAAAGGGACUGAAAAUCUGGGUGGUUAAGUCCACUGGCUUAAUCCUUAUUAGGUUUCCUAGCAGAACUUCGUUCAUGAGGAUUGUGCGUACAUGGUAAUAUAAACCAGAAGGGAACAAGGAAUCAUCUGAACUAGUUUGGUUGGGAGCAAGACUUGUAUUGUUUAGUCUGUUCUUAGUUCACAUGUUAAACUCUGGUUAACUGUUCAAAUAUUAGACAUACUCAUGUUGGUCUCUGUAAAAAUCUCUGUGGUUCAUGGUCACUAUAUGUUUGGUUUUAGAUCUAUAAUCUAUCUGUCGCAGAGACCUUUCUGUUUCCUAGAGGGGAAUUAAUUUUGAUGGAAUUUUUUCAU